CAAGUCGAGCGGUAGCACAAGGAGCUUGCUCCUGGGUGACGAGCGGCGGACGGGUGAGUAAUGUCUGGGAAACUGCCCGAUGGAGGGGGAUAACUACUGGAAACGGUAGCUAAUACCGCAUAACGUCUUCGGACCAAAGUGGGGGACCUUCGGGCCUCACACCAUCGGAUGUGCCCAGAUGGGAUUAGCUAGUAGGUGAGGUAAUGGCUCACCUAGGCGACGAUCCCUAGCUGGUCUGAGAGGAUGACCAGCCACACUGGAACUGAGACACGGUCCAGACUCCUACGGGAGGCAGCAGUGGGGAAUAUUGCACAAUGGGCGCAAGCCUGAUGCAGCCAUGCCGCGUGUGUGAAGAAGGCCUUCGGGUUGUAAAGCACUUUCAGCGAGGAGGAAGGGUUCAGUGUUAAUAGCACUGUUCAUUGACGUUACUCGCAGAAGAAGCACCGGCUAACUCCGUGCCAGCAGCCGCGGUAAUACGGAGGGUGCAAGCGUUAAUCGGAAUUACUGGGCGUAAAGCGCACGCAGGCGGUUUGUUAAGUCAGAUGUGAAAUCCCCGAGCUUAACUUGGGAACUGCAUUUGAAACUGGCAAGCUAGAGUCUUGUAGAGGGGGGUAGAAUUCCAGGUGUAGCGGUGAAAUGCGUAGAGAUCUGGAGGAAUACCGGUGGCGAAGGCGGCCCCCUGGACAAAGACUGACGCUCAGUGCGAAAG
rnacentral:rRNA from 1 species